GCUUAACACAUGCAAGUCGAGGGGAAGGCCCUUCGGGGUACACGAGCGGCGAACGGGUGAGUAACACGUGGGUGAUCUGCCUCGCACUUCGGGAUAAGCCUGGGAAACUGGGUCUAAUACCGGAUAUGACCAUGGAAUGCAUGUUUUGUGGUGGAAAGAUUUAUCGGUGCGAGAUGGGCCCGCGGCCUAUCAGCUUGUUGGUGAGGUAACGGCUCACCAAGGCGACGACGGGUAGCCGACCUGAGAGGGUGACCGGCCACACUGGGACUGAGACACGGCCCAGACUCCUACGGGAGGCAGCAGUGGGGAAUAUUGCACAAUGGGCGAAAGCCUGAUGCAGCGACGCCGCGUGGAGGAUGACGGCCUUCGGGUUGUAAACUCCUUUCGACAGGGACGAAGCGAGAGUGACGGUACCUGUAGAAGAAGCACCGGCCAACUACGUGCCAGCAGCCGCGGUAAUACGUAGGGUGCGAGCGUUGUCCGGAAUUACUGGGCGUAAAGAGCUUGUAGGCGGUCUGUCGCGUCUUCUGUGAAAACUUGGGGCUCAACCUUAAGCUUGCAGGCGAUACGGGCAGACUAGAGUACUUCAGGGGAGACUGGAAUUCCUGGUGUAGCGGUGAAAUGCGCAGAUAUCAGGAGGAACACCGGUGGCGAAGGCGGGUCUCUGGGAAGUAACUGACGCUGAGAAGCGAAAGCAUGGGUAGCAAACAGGAUUAGAUACCCUGGUAGUCCAUGCCGUAAACGGUGGGUACUAGGUGUGGGUUUCCUUCCACGGGAUCCGUGCCGUAGCUAACGCAUUAAGUACCCCGCCUGGGGAGUACGGCCGCAAGGCUAAAACUCAAAUGAAUUGACGGGGGCCCGCACAAGCGGCGGAGCAUGUGGAUUAAUUCGAUGCAACGCGAAGAACCUUACCUGGGUUUGACAUACACCGGAAACCUGCAGAGAUGUAGGCCCCCUUGUGGUCGGUGUACAGGUGGUGCAUGGCUGUCGUCAGCUCGUGUCGUGAGAUGUUGGGUUAAGUCCCGCAACGAGCGCAACCCUUAUCUUAUGUUGCCAGCGCGUAAUGGCGGGGACUCGUGAGAGACUGCCGGGGUCAACUCGGAGGAAGGUGGGGACGACGUCAAGUCAUCAUGCCCCUUAUGUCCAGGGCUUCACACAUGCUACAAUGGCCAGUACAGAGGGCUGCGAGACCGUGAGGUGGAGCGAAUCCCUUAAAGCUGGUCUCAGUUCGGAUCGGGGUCUGCAACUCGACCCCGUGAAGUUGGAGUCGCUAGUAAUCGCAGAUCAGCAACGCUGCGGUGAAUACGUUCCCGGGCCUUGU
rnacentral:rRNA from 1 species